rnacentral:tRNA from 1 species
UAUAUCCAAGUAUAAAGAUGUACAUAAAUUUUUGAUAUUUAGAGAAACAGUUUAAUUCUGUUGGAUAUAG